UGCUGUCUCGCUGUCCGCUGCACAAAAAACAUCGCAACUUCAGUCACUCAUAUUAAGCCAUAAGAGAUCUCAUCCAUCAAAGACCUUUGCAAAACCAAAAGGGCCAAGGAAGCAUCAGCCAUGGCUCCCAUCCCUCUCACUGCGACAAUAUCAUUCAGGGAAAGUGAUCUUGUGUUCCUAAUUCCAUCGCUCACAAGAUGAGAAGAUGCUUCUGGGAUCAGCCAGAGCCCCGGCCAGGGCAGUCAGCCAGACAUUGGACAGUGUGUCGUGGUGAGAUCCAUUCCGGCCGUCCUGGGCCGAAUGCCCCCGUCCUAGCUAGCCGGGGUCUGCCUCAGGGACUAGACACGGCCAUUGUAUCAGAAUCUUCUCACAAUUUCCUGUUCCGAACUGCUUUUGUCCCCUUCCUUCCUUUCUGAUGGAGAUUUGAAUGAUGCAUCAGAAAUGUAUUUGCCAGGUGUCAGCUGGAUUUUAGAAUUCUGGGGAAUCAAAGCAAACCGGUCCCAAAGUGGAGAGAGCGCUGCUGAGGGCCUUGGUGCCGGACGGUGCCGGGAUUGCUUCUUUAGGGCCCGAUUUCAUUUGCAUCUUCUUUUUCAGAAAUGACACAUCUAACCUUGAUUUCUCUCACAAGGGAAACCAUUUUUGUACCAAAGAGUCCUUAAAGUGCCCAGAUAUUAUAUGCCUAGGAACAUUUUGCAAGGAAAUACAAAUAAGCCUUGCCACGCUCCCUGUUCCGUUCAAAGGCAGGAAUUGGCUCUAAAACGGAAAGCUGCUUUUUCUGAAGCUCCUUAGAAUGGCAGGAGCUGGUUUACAAGGUCUUGCCCGUGGCCCGCUGGGUCUUUGCCCAGCAUACAAGAAGCUCUCCUCCUUCUGAGACCCAAGUCCACGGGGAGGGACAAGACCAAGCAAUGAAACCCACACUGACUAAGACAGUCCAGAUAUUCUGGGAAAGUUCCGAUUUUAGGACAAGAAGUUGGGCUCUUAGAGGUGUUGCAAAGGAUGUAUGCUCCUUGAGAACAAGUAUUGCCUCUAUUUUCACUUGUAUCUGCACCUCUGUUCUUACUACAAUGGCCGUCACACAGCUGGUGCUCCCUAAAUGCUGAUUUUUGUUGCUGGGGAAGCUGGGGGAGGGGUAUCUCUGGGAAGAUUUCUUGGCAUUUUCCUGCUUCCCCUCAAACCUCCAAAUUUUGCCUUCAUCUUGCUGAUCAUGGGCCUGUGACCUCACUCAAGCAGGCCCCAGAAUGGGAAGCCAAGAUGGCGGCCACUUCCCAUGAAUCCUGGCCCAAAGCGUCUGCCAAGAGGUGACCUCCCCCGCUCCGGCUGAUUGGCUGCGACAUUGGGGCUGCACCGGCUCCUUCCAAGGACCCUGAAGGUUUAUGCUUCUUUUCAAAGCAUUGAUUUGUUUGUUUAAUCAUAAUGUCUGUGUGUCCUUGUGUUGAAGGGUGCUGUGCAGGGCAAUCAAUAUAUCAAUUCCUCGGGGGUCCUGCCCUUUUCAGGGCAGAAUAAAGUACUUGAAAGUGUU